GAUGAAGAACGUAGCGAAAUGCGAUAAGUAGUGUGAAUUGCAGAAUUCAGUGAAUCAUCGAAUCUUUGAACGCACAUUGCGCCCCUUGGUAUUCCAUGGGGCAUGCCUGUUCGAGCGUCAUUUGUACCUUCAAGCUCUGCUUGGUGUUGGGUGUUUGUCACGCCUCUGCGUGUAGACUCGCCUCAAAACAAUUGGCAGCCGGCGUAUUGAUUUCGGAGCGCAGUACAUCUCGCGCUUUGCACUCAUAACGACGACGUCCAAAAGUACAUUUUUACACUCUUGACCUCGGAUCAGGUAGGGAUACCCGCUGAACUUAAGCAUAUCAAUAAGCGGAGGA
rnacentral:misc_RNA from 1 species